AACGAACGCUGGCGGCAGGCCUAACACAUGCAAGUCGAGCGCGCCCUUCGGGGUGAGCAGCGGACGGGUGAGUACGCGUGGGAACGUGCCCUUUUCUACGGAAUAGCCUCGGGAAACUGAGAGUAAUACCGUAUACGCCCUUUGGGGGAAAGAUUUAUCGGAAAAGGAUCGGCCCGCGUUGGAUUAGGUAGUUGGUGGGGUAAUGGCCUACCAAGCCGACGAUCCAUAGCUGGUUUGAGAGGAUGAUCAGCCACACUGGGACUGAGACACGGCCCAGACUCCUACGGGAGGCAGCAGUGGGGAAUCUUAGACAAUGGGGGCAACCCUGAUCUAGCCAUGCCGCGUGAGUGAUGAAGGCCUUAGGGUUGUAAAGCUCUUUCAGCUGGGAAGAUAAUGACGGUACCAGCAGAAGAAGCCCCGGCUAACUCCGUG
rnacentral:rRNA from 1 species